rnacentral:rRNA from 1 species
UUGAACGCUGGCGGCAGGCCUAACACAUGCAAGUCGAGCGGUAGCACAGAGAGCUUGCUCUCGGGUGACGAGCGGCGGACGGGUGAGUAAUGUCUGGGAAACUGCCUGAUGGAGGGGGAUAACUACUGGAAACGGUAGCUAAUACCGCAUAAUGUCGCAAGACCAAAGUGGGGGACCUUCGGGCCUCAUGCCAUCAGAUGUGCCCAGAUGGGAUUAGCUAGUAGGUGGGGUAACGGCUCACCUAGGCGACGAUCCCUAGCUGGUCUGAGAGGAUGACCAGCCACACUGGAACUGAGACACGGUCCAGACUCCUACGGGAGGCAGCAGUGGGGAAUAUUGCACAAUGGGCGCAAGCCUGAUGCAGCCAUGCCGCGUGUGUGAAGAAGGCCUUCGGGUUGUAAAGCACUUUCAGCGGGGAGGAAGGCGAUAAGGUUAAUAACCUUGUCGAUUGACGUUACCCGCAGAAGAAGCACCGGCUAACUCCGUGCCAGCAGCCGCGGUAAUACGGAGGGUGCAAGCGUUAAUCGGAAUUACUGGGCGUAAAGCGCACGCAGGCGGUUUGUUAAGUCAGAUGUGAAAUCCCCGGGCUCAACCUGGGAACUGCAUUCGAAACUGGCAGGCUAGAGUCUUGUAGAGGGGGGUAGAAUUCCAGGUGUAGCGGUGAAAUGCGUAGAGAUCUGGAGGAAUACCGGUGGCGAAGGCGGCCCCCUGGACAAAGACUGACGCUCAGGUGCGAAAGCGUGGGGAGCAAACAGGAUGAGAUACCCUGGUAGUCCACGUCGUAAACGAUGUAGAUUUGGAGGUUGUGCCCUUGAGGCGUGGCUUCCGGAGCUAACGCGUUAAAUCGACCGCCUGGGGAGUACGGCCGCAAGGUUAAAACUCAAAUGAAUUGACGGGGGCCCGCACAAGCGGUGGAGCAUGUGGUUUAAUUCGAUGCAACGCGAAGAACCUUACCUGGUCUUGACAUCCACAGAACUUAGCAGAGAUGCUUUGGUGCCUUCGGGAACUGUGAGACAGGUGCUGCAUGGCUGUCGUCAGCUCGUGUUGUGAAAUGUUGGGUUAAGUCCCGCAACGAGCGCAACCCUUAUCCUUUGUUGCCAGCGGUCCGGCCGGGAACUCAAAGGAGACUGCCAGUGAUAAACUGGAGGAAGGUGGGGAUGACGUCAAGUCAUCAUGGCCCUUACGAGUAGGGCUACACACGUGCUACAAUGGCGCAUACAAAGAGAAGCGACCUCGCGAGAGCAAGCGGACCUCAUAAAGUAUGUCGUAGUCCGGAUUGGAGUCUGCAACUCGACUCCAUGAAGUCGGAAUCGCUAGUAAUCGUAGAUCAGAAUGCUACGGUGAAUACGUUCCCGGGCCUUGUACACACCGCCCGUCACACCAUGGGAGUGGGUUGCAAAAGAAGUAGGUAGCUUAACCUUCGGGAGGGCGCUUACCACUUUGUGAUUCAUGACUGGGGUG